CAAUGGGGGAAAGCCUGAUCCAGCAAUGCCGCGUGAGUGAUCAAGGUCUUUGGGUUGUAAAGCUCUUUNNCCNGGGAAGAUAAUGACGGUUNCCGUAGAAGAAGCCCCGGCUAACUUCGUGCCAGCAGCCGCGGUAAUACGAAGGGGGCUAGCGUUGUUCGGAUUUACUGGGCGUAAAGCGUGCGUAGGCGGCUUGUCAAGUCAGACGUGAAAGCCCCGGGCUCAACUCCGGAACUGCGUUUUGAGACUGGCAGGCUUGAGUUCGGGAGAGGGUAGUGGAAUUCCCAGUGUAGAGGUGAAAUUCGUAGAUAUUGGGAAGAACACCGGUGGCGAAGGCGGCUGCCUGGCCCGAAACUGACGCUGAGGCGCGAAAGCGUGGGGAGCAAACAGGAUUAGAUACCCUGGUAGUCCACGCCGUAAACGAUG
rnacentral:rRNA from 1 species